ACGCACGCUGGCGGCAUGCCUAACACAUGCAAGUCGCACGAGACCUUCGGGUCUAGUGGCGCACGGGUGCGUAACGCGUGGGAAUCUGCCCUUGGGUUCGGAAUAACUCGCCGAAAGGCGUGCUAAUACCGGAUGAUGACGUAAGUCCAAAGAUUUAUCGCCCAAGGAUGAGCCCGCGUUGGAUUAGCUAGUUGGUGAGGUAAAGGCUCACCAAGGCGACGAUCCAUAGCUGGUCUGAGAGGAUGAUCAGCCACACUGGGACUGAGACACGGCCCAGACUCCUACGGGAGGCAGCAGUGGGGAAUAUUGGACAAUGGGCGAAAGCCUGAUCCAGCAAUGCCGCGUGAGUGAUGAAGGCCUUAGGGUUGUAAAGCUCUUUUACCCGGGAUGAUAAUGACCGUACCGGGAGAAUAAGCUCCGGCUAACUCCGUG
rnacentral:rRNA from 1 species